rnacentral:misc_RNA from 1 species
AAAAUCAUCACAGAAGGGCCUCUUGAAAACUGAUUUCCUGGAUAUUAUAAUGUCAGGCUUGUAUGCAUCAGAACAAUAUGGAACAAUAUCAGCUAGAAGUCCAUUAACAUCAAGGAUAAGAAGCUUUUUAUCAGCACCUCCAACAUGAGGUCCUUCUAGUGAAGAGAGUGAUACUUGAGGAAGAUUUCCCUCCUUCAGAGGAGC